GUAGGAACAUUUAUUAAUAGUGAGUCUAAUUUAUAACAAAGCUCAAAUAAUUUCUGAUACAGUUUGACUAAAGAGUAAACAAGUGAAGCUACUCGUAGCUGAUAUUGCAUUCUAUGGGGACAGAACAUGUCAAGGUCAUCUGUUUCUGCCAACAGCUACAGAGAACCACGUACAUUGUUGGGAAAGAAAAGAAAUGUCUCGCUAAAUACGUUUUAGGAAAGAUUAACUGGGACGAAGCAGCAGAACACAUGAGAACUGAAGGAUACACUAGAACCUCGACACAAUUACAAGGGAAUGUUAAACGACAGCUGAAAAAAUAGAACAAAAAUACGACCAAAAAAGUUCUUUAGCUACCAGUUAACAAACAAAUAUGUUCGAAUUAUUGUUAAUGUUAUUAUAGUAAUUCAUCUUAUCAGCUUGCGAAUUCUUCGAUGAAAAAAAAAAACAACAACAUUGGAAACAAUAUCGUCGCUAACGAUUUU